rnacentral:rRNA from 1 species
AUGUUAGCGGCGGACGGGUGAGUAACACGUGGGUAACCUACCUAUAAGACUGGGAUAACUCCGGGAAACCGGGACUAAUACCGGAUAAUAUUUUGAACCGCAUGGUUCAAUAGUGAAAGACGGUUUCGGCUGUCACUUAUAGAUGGACCCGCGCCGUAUUAGCUAGUUGGUAAGGUAACGGCUUACCAAGGCGACGAUACGUAGCCGACCUGAGAGGGUGAUCGGCCACACUGGAACUGAGACACGGUCCAGACUCCUACGGGAGGCAGCAGCA